UCAAAAUUUCUCACCUCACUUUGCUCUCUUUUCUCUUAAGGAAAGAGCUAGAAGCUCUCUUGAGUCCCUUUUGUCAAACCCAUGGGUCCACACAUUAAAAGAAAGAUAAGGCUCUAUUUCUUCUUCACACCCUCUCAAAGAAACUAGAAAACUCAAAGACUCUCUCAAGCUCUUUGCCUCUCAUACUUUCAGGUUCAGCCACUAGGAAAGGGAAAUCCUUUCAUGCAAGAGUGAUUCUACUUCUAUUUCCCCUCAAGAACUAGAAACUUGGUGUUACCAGUAUCCAAGCCUAAGCUCUUUCAACUGUAGGCCUUCGGUUCCUUUGCUUUCAGUCAACAGGUUUUAUUUUGGAGCAGAGGGAGCCUUAGUCGAGUUUUGGAAUGAGCUAAUUUUAGUUUUAAAAGUAUAGAUCCCAAAUUAGCAAUUUGAUGUUUAGUUUUGUAGUAUUGUGUAUUUUAGGAUCUAAUGAAAGUUGUAUACCUUAAAGUAUUAAGAGAUGUAUUAUGUGAAAUUUAGAAUUUGAGUAAUUGGCGGAUUAUGUUAUUCUUUGAAUACA